rnacentral:rRNA from 1 species
UACGUAGGGGGCAAGCGUUGUCCGGAAUCAUUGGGCGUAAAGAGCGUGUAGGCGGCUCGAUAAGUCUGCUGUGAAAGUCCAGGGCUACCCUGGAAGGCCGGUGGAAACUGUCGGGCUAGAGUCCGGAAGAGGCGAGUGGAAUUCCCGGUGUAGCGGUGAAAUGCGCAGAUAUCGGGAGGAACACCAAUGGCGAAGGCAGCUCGCUGGGACGGUACUGACGCUGAGACGCGAAAGCGUGGGGAGCAAACAGG